CCAAAGGCUCUUUUAAGAGCCACCCACUUAAUCAUUAAAAGAGCUU
rfam:Tyto alba contig161264, whole genome shotgun sequence.